CUGGGCUUAACUCUCCACGACACGAUCUUCAGGGAUCCAUCACAUCCCUUUGAAAUAUAUCACAACGUAGAUUUGCUUAAUCGUUUUCCAUUCGUCGACCUUAUAUAACCGACCUAGUGGAAAAUGAGAUUGACCACCCGUUCCACCGUUGUUGCAGAUGAUGGUGGCAUUAAGAUUUUAUGCAAAAGGCACAAUGCAAGUUGUAGUUGCUGACGUUUUGCAUUGACAAAGCCAUAGCCAGCUGAGUAAUCAGCAGUGUCUGCUGCCUUUGCAAGGCGCCUAUGUGAAUAUGUGUGCCUGCUAGCUGCUGGAGAAACUGCUGCUAGAACAGCAAAAUUGUAUGCAAUGGCAGGAUUUCCUCAUGUAAUCAGCUGCAUUGAGUGCACUCAUGUAUCUGUCUUGCAACCUUCAGAAAGUGAAUACCAGCAUGCUAAUCACAAGGAUCAACACACAAUUACUGUGUGAUACCGACUUGUUCACCAGCCUGUUGUAAACUGGCCUGGCUAUGUUCAUGAUGCCAGGAUACUACAGGAGAGCUUCCUUUUCAGGGUCAUAAAGACUAAUCUUCACCUUCUGCCGGAGGUUAUUCUGGGGGACAAUGGAACCCACUGAGGGACUGGCUUAUCACACCCCUUUCUAAAUUCAGACACCAGAGCCAAGGAGAGUUUUACCAUGCCCACUGCUCAACAAGGAGCACCAUUGAGACAACCAGUGGUGUUCUCAAGAAAUGGUGCUAUGGCAUAGUUUUGUUUCUUUAUAAUUCUACAACUAACCUAAGCAUAUAGCAAGGAAAAUUGAAUGUGAAAAGAACUCCUGUCAUCUGGGGUCUUUUAUAAAUGUUCCUAUCAACAACUGUAUGGGGUGUUGAAAAAGGACUAGCAGUAUAUUCACAUGAGGAACAGCAAACUAUGGUGACACACAAAUGUGGGAAAAUGUGUGCACGCUGUGUAACAGAUACACAUUAGGUAAAGAAGAUAAUAUGAUAGAGACUAAUGUAAGAGAUAUGUCACCACUGUAUAUAGAGCAAAGCAAAUUAUACAAGCUGGCAACACAAAUUCAAGAGAAAUGUACUACUGUGCAAUAUACAUAAGCAAAAUUUCAUUUGAAUUUCACUGAACAUGUAUGGACAGUGCAUAAGAAGGCACAACAACGGUUGUAUCUGAUCAGGAAGCUUCGCAGUUUUAAGGUAAGUGAACACAUUUUGGGAGAUGUCUAUCGUGCGCUGGUAGAAAGCAUAAUUACAUUUAAUAUUGUCUCUUGGUAUGGCCAGACAAGCGUGACAAACAAGAACAAACUGAGGCGCACCAUAAACACAGCCAGCAAAAUUGUAGGCUCACAACAGCUGACCCUUUCCCACCUGUACGAUUCAGCCCUUGUCCGGAAAGCAACACAAAUCAUGCUUGACCCCACCCACCCACUCAACCCCCGCUUCGAGCCUAUGCCCUCAGGACGGAGGUUGAGGGUCCCUCUUGCGAAAAAGAACGUUUAUAGAAGGUCAUUCGUCCCAUCGGCCAUCUCUGCUGUCAACCAACAAAAAACUAUAAGCGACUAGUAGUGUUACACACAAGGGGGAUGACGUAAUCCCAUCUCUGUUAUCACUGUUAUUAUGUAGUCAUGGAAACUGAUGUAUUGUCCUUUUGAUGCAGGCGUGGGUGUGUGUGUGCUCACUUCUGCCAUUGCUGAUGUUAUUGUUGAUGUUUUUGAUUUUCUCUCUGACUGCUUGCAUGCUGGAAGACACAUCUCCUUUGCUGGACAAUAAAGUUAUCUUAUCUUAUCUUAUCUUAAAACAAAUUAUACAGGUUGGUAACAAAUCUAAGAGAUGUGUACACAAUGUGGAAAAUAGUGACAUGAGGUAUAGCAAACAGGUUUCUGGUCCAGAAAUACUAGAAGUAUGAAUGUACACACAGAGUAAUAUGCAAGUGUGCGGGUAAGGUAAAUUAUUCAAGUCCAUGGCAGAAUCUAAGUACCAUGUGUUCAAUGGCCUUGGCAAGAAUGAAAAUAGCCCUAACAUAUAUGAUAAUUUCUUGUUUCACUCUUUCAAACGUUAAGAAAAGCAUGAUAAAUAUGAGCACAUUACCAAGAAAAAAAUUCAUUGGCAUCAUACUAUCAAUUACAAAGUGUCACACAAACAUAAUUUUAUUAUCUUGUAAGUGAAAAAUUAAUGCAGUGCCAGUCUAGUGUUUAUUGUUUUUUUUGUUUUUUUUUUAAGUGUUAAUUCUUCAGUAAUUGUAAAUUUGAUAGCAUGAAUUCCUUGUAUCAAGGAUCAUUUAGCCUUGGUAGCCACUAUACUGGCACAUGAGGUUUCAUUCUGGCAUCAAGAUGGCACUUGUAUAUAAAUAAGGUCCAUUAGAGUAGAAAAGAAGAAAUAUAACUUCUGCUCACUAAUGUACACUUUCUAAAAUCUAAAGAGUCAUACUUCUGUAGGGUCUGAGUACGUUAUGGGAUUCGCUACACUAGCAUAAAGACUGUUUUAGUUUAAGUAUUGAAUGAUUGCAUUACA